rnacentral:rRNA from 1 species
AUUGAACGCUGGCGGCAUGCCUUACACAUGCAAGUCGAACGGCAGCACGGGGCAACCUGGUGGCGAGUGGCGAACGGGUGAGUAAUGCAUCGGAACGUACCUUUCAGUGGGGGAUAACGUAGCGAAAGUUACGCUAAUACCGCGUAUUCUGUGAGCAGGAAAGCAGGGGAUCGCAAGACCUUGCGCUGAUUGAGCGGCCGAUGUCAGAUUAGCUAGUUGGUGAGGUAAAGGCUCACCAAGGCGACGAUCUGUAGCGGGUCUGAGAGGAUGAUCCGCCACACUGGAACUGAGACACGGUCCAGACUCCUACGGGAGGCAGCAGUGGGGAAUUUUGGACAAUGGGGGCAACCCUGAUCCAGCCAUGCCGCGUGAGUGAAGAAGGCCUUCGGGUUGUAAAGCUCUUUCGGCCGGGAAGAAAUCGCACGGGCUAAUACCCUGUGUGGAUGACGGUACCGGAAUAAGAAGCACCGGCUAACUGCGUGCCAGCCGCCGCGGUAA